rnacentral:rRNA from 1 species
UGGGGAAUAUUGCACAAUGGAGGGAACUCUGAUGCAGCGACGCCGCGUGAACGAAGAAGGCUUUCGAGUCGUAAAGUUCUUUUAUAUGGGAAGAUAAUGACGGUACCAUAAGAAAAAGCCCCGGCUAACUACGUGCCAGCAGCCGCGGUAAUACGUAGGGGGCUAGCGUUGUCCGGAAUCACUGGGCGUAAAGGGUUCGCAGGCGGAAAUGCAAGUCAGGUGUAAAAGGCAGUAGCUUAACUACUGUAAGCAUUUGAAACUGCAUAUCUUGAGAAGAGUAGAGGUAAGUGGAAUUUUUAGUGUAUCGGUGAAAUGCGUAGAUAUUAAAAUGAAUACCGGUGGCGAAGGCGACUUACUGGGCUCAUUCUGACGCUGAGGAACGAAAGCGUGGGUAGCAAACAGG